rnacentral:rRNA from 2 species
CACACGACUCUCGGCAACGGAUAUCUCGGCUCUCGCAUCGAUGAAGAACGUAGCGAAAUGCGAUACCUGGUGUGAAUUGCAGAAUCCCGCGAACCAUCGAGUCUUUGAACGCAAGUUGCGCCCGAGGCCAUUCGGNCGAGGGCACGCCUGCCUGGGCGUCACG